CCUCAAUAAACCCAUUUCCUCGUUUACCAAAAAAAAUUAAAAAAAUCCUAUUCCUCCUCGUCCUCCGCUCCUCCCCCUCCAUCCCCUCUCCUCUGUUGCAAAGAAGCCUUCUCAUCCCUCUCUGCUGCUCGGCGGCUGCUCGUGCCAGACAUUGACGACGUUGAGUCGCUGACUUCUCUACUCAAUUGGAAGAACAAUUGACGACCACGGAUGUUCUCUCUCAGCCUUAUAGAGCACACUCUGAGGCUGCCGCCCCACCUGCUCGGCCUCUCCCUCGAAAAAGCCGUCAGGCACGAGCUGGAGGGUCUCUUCUUAGAUAAGGUCAUUGCAAAAUUGGGGCUCUGCGUGUCUGUUUAUGACAUCCGGAGCAUUAAUGGCGGCUUCAUCUUUCCUGGGGAUGGUGCACCCACCUACACGGUGAGAUGCAGGCUGAUAAUGUUCCGUCCAUUUGUUGGGGAGAUAAUUGAUGCAAAACUUAAGGAUUAUGAUGAAAACAGUUUGCGUUUAUCUCUGGGAUUUUUUGAUGACAUUUGCAUACCUCCUCAUCUCUUGCCAACUCCAUCUCAUUUUUGGCCUGACCCAGAAAACGGGAAUAGACGGAGAUGGGUUUGGGAGUAUCAAACAGAUGAUGAGAAUCAGACAUCUGGUAGUAUGUUUGCAAUUGAUGAGAUAGGCGCGACUAUUAGAUUUAAAGUUCAGAGCAUAAGUUAUCCUUCGAUUCCACUAGAGCAACCAAAUAGUUCAAAGCCAUUUGCUCCGAUGGUGGUUACUGGUUCAAUCGAUAAUGACGGUCUUGGCCCCCUUUCAUGGUGGGAGUGAUGAAUAAAGACAGUUGGUUCUCAACAGGCAGAGCCAUAUUGUCGCCUGCUAUUUUCUACCUGAAGCACUUUUGGAUGAAGCCAGUGGACAGUCAUUGUUAUGGGCCUAUGGUCGAUCGGACAUUUGAAUCGGUUUUAGACUGUCAAUGCAAACAAUUCUGCCUGCUCAAGCAACCUAAUGUCAAAAAUGUUCCUCUCACGUGUUCUCAUUCUCUUGUUGAGGUAAUUGGCAUCUUCGAAAACCUUAUCUACAGAGUAAAUGAACGAGCGAAAUGUGCAAAGUGCAGAGAAUUUAUAUGGGACAGCGUAAGUUUAUGCAGACGAUUCACGAGGCAUCCAACUGUCAUAAGAAAUUUCACACCCCGUGUUAUCCUCAAAUAUCUAAACCAUGCUAUGCAAGGUCACAUGCAAUACACAAGGCUUAGAGGGACUGUCCAGGCUCCUCAUCUUUGUCAAGGCCCGACAGAUAGUGUAGAAGGACCAGAUGAGGCCAAACACGCCAAACAGUAUCCACCCGACAAGGUUGUUGCUCAGCCAGAAUGGGAGCCCCGACAUUCCCUCCGUGCUCAUUCUCUCAUCCACCAGGGCCGGGCUCGAAAUUGCUGCUGAUGAAACAGCUGCGAAGAGGAUGCUCCCAUGGUCUUGAUUGACCCAAUCUUUUGCUUUCCCUCCGCCCCGCAUCUCACUCCCCUUUGGUUGCAAUCAAAUGAAUGAGACACGAUGACUUUUCGGUUUUCGAGCAAAGGGACCCUUACCACAAAGCUUACCAACUGCUUAUAAGUCGUGAAAAUGAUUCAAAUUGUAGAAAGGGAGGAACAUAUGCAAAUAAGACAUAUUUUGUCAUGCGGUAA